UCUCCUACGGGAGGCAGCAGUGAGGAAUAUUGGUCAAUGGGCGGGAGCCUGAACCAGCCAAGUCGCGUGAAGGAAGAAGGUACUUAGUAUUGUAAACUUCUUUUGUCGGGGAACAAAGGCGGAGACGCGUCUCCGGAUGAGUGUACCCGAAGAAAAAGCAUCGGCUAACUCCGUGCCAGCAGCCGCGGUAAUACGGAGGAUGCGAGCGUUAUCCGGAUUUAUUGGGUUUAAAGGGUGCGUAGGCGGCCUGCUAAGUCUGGAGUGAAAGGUACCGGCUCAACCGGUACAGGCUCUGGAAACUGGCG
rnacentral:rRNA from 1 species